GCUGUGUAGGAGGAAUAAAACUGGGUGAGGAACAGCCAAACUCCGCUAACAAGGUGAGGUUGCUGAAGACAGUUUACUGUCAAAAGUCAUACACCAUGGCAAGACUUAGCACAGCAACAAGACACAGAUGUGCUGUCCAAGCUCUUUUGAAGAAGCACAAAGAAACGGGCAACGUUGAGGACCGUAGACACAUUGGUCGGCCAAGGAAACUUACAGCAGCAGAUGAGACAUCAAGCUUACUUCUCUUCACAAUCUGAAGAUGUCCAGCAGUGCCAUCAGCUCAGAAUUGGCAGAAAACAGUAGGACCCUGGUACACCCAUCUACUGUCCGGAGAAGUCUGGUCAGAAGUAGCCUUCAUGGAAGACUUACGGCCAAAAAGCCAUACCUCCCACGUGGAAACAAGGCCAAGCGAGUCAACUAUGCACGAAAAACACAGGAACUGGGGUGCAGAAAAAUGGCAGCAGGUGCUCUGGACUGAUGAGUCAAAAUGUGAAAUAUUUUGCUGGAGCAGAAGGCAGUUUGUUCGCUGGAGAGCGGUACACAAAUGAGUGUCUGCAGGCAACAGCGAAGCAUAGUGGAGGUUCCUUGCAAGUUCGAGGCUUCAUUUCUGCAAAUGGAGUUGGGGAUUUGGUCAGAAUGAAUGGUCUCCUCAAUGCUGAGAAGUACAGGCAGAUAAUUAUCCAUUGUGCAAUACCAUCAGGGAGGCAUCUGAUUGGCACAAAAUGUAUUCUGCAGCAUAACAACGACCCCAAACAGUUCUUAAUGACUUUCGCUGUAUCUUCAGCGUAAAGAAGAACAAGGAGUCCUGGAAGUGAUGGUAUGGCCCCCACAGAGCCCUGAUCUCAACAUCAUCGAGUCUGUCUGGGAUUACAUGAAGAGAGAGAAGCACCUGAGGCCGCCUAAAUCCACAUAAUAACUGUGGUUAAUUCUCCAAGAUGUUAAGGCCAACCUACCUGCCGACUUCCUUAAACUGUGUACCUCGAAGAAUUGACGCUGUUUUGAAGGCAAAGGGUUGAUUUGAUGUAGAUUUUUAUUCUGUUCACUCACUUUGCAUUUUGUUAAUUGAUAAAUAUAAACUAUUAACAUCUUUAUUUUUGAAAGAAUUCUU
ensembl:lncRNA